GCGGGUGUGGCGGAAUUGGUAGACGCGCGGGAUUCAAAAUCCCGUUCCUAUGGAGUGUCGGUUCGAUUCCGACCACCCGUACCA
rnacentral:tRNA from 1 species